rnacentral:snRNA from 1 species
GUGGGCUCCCCAUUCGACCCGUCU